AGUAUCAAGUAUGCAUAUAUCUACUUGUAUAUGUUUUUGUGACUGUUUUAUUUUCUGGAAAAAUGAGCCACCUAACAAAUAAAAAUGCUUUAAAUGGGCUAUUUGCAUGCGAAUGAGACCAUCUCCAUUGGGAGUAUCUCAUAAGAGUUUCUCACAAUUAAAAAAAUAAAAAUAAUGAAAAUGAAGGAGAGAGAGUGUAUAAAGUUUCUCACUUGAGAAACUCUGAGAUACUCUGUACAACCCAUCAUGACAAUUCUCAUCUUACUAUUGGUUCAAUUUUUUAACAAAAAUACUUUUUUAAUCAAAUAAUCAAAUUAUAAUAUAAUAUUAAUAUUUAUUUUGUUGAGAAACUUUGUGGGUUUCUCAUGGAUGGAGAUGCCCUUAAAAUGUCCCGACCAUGUUAUAAACACACACAUUAAAUGUACCAUUCACCAAAACUUAAACUUGACCAGCCUUAAAAGGAU
rnacentral:sRNA from 1 species